GACGAACGCUGGCGGCGUGCUUAACACAUGCAAGUCGAACGGAAAGGCCCUGCUUGCAGGGUACUCGAGUGGCGAGCGGGUGAGUAACACGUGGGUGAUCUGCCCUGCACUUCGGGAUAAGCCUGGGAAACUGGGUCUAAUACCGGAUAGGAGCCAUUUUUAGUGUGAUGGUUGGAAAGUUUUUUCGGUGUAGGAUGAGCUCGCGGCCUAUCAGCUUGUUGGUGGGGUAAUGGCCUACCAAGGCGGCGACGGGUAGCCGGCCUGAGAGGGUGGACGGCCACAUUGGGACUGAGAUACGGCCCAGACUCCUACGGGAGGCAGCAGUGGGGAAUAUUGCACAAUGGGCGCAAGCCUGAUGCAGCGACGCCGCGUGGGGGAUGACGGCCUUCGGGUUGUAAACUCCUUUCGCUAGGGACGAAGCUUUUUGUGACGGUACCUAGAUAAGAAGCACCGGCUAACUACGUG
rnacentral:rRNA from 1 species